rnacentral:lncRNA from 1 species
GAGUAACUCCUCGAUCUCCUCUUUAAGGUGUCUACAGUCCGCGGUGUUGUGUCCAGCUGAUUCGUGGAAGUCACAGUACUUCUUCUUGUCUUUGGCAACAUUAUAGGGAAUAGGCUGCGGCUUCCGAAAAGGGGCCUUAUCUUUGCUUACCGCAUAGAUGUGCUCGGCUGACGCCACGAGAGGGGUGUACGUGCCUGGUUGUCUCGGGGGGCUCCAGUUCCUUCUAUCGCUAGCCAUGUGUACCCUUGCUGGGGAACGUCCACGCCCUUUUGGUUCCGGGCUAGGUGUGUGUUCCUUUCUCUUACCCCGUGACUUAGCGAUUUCUUUCUGAUUUUCG